GGGGCCAUAGCUCAGCUGGGAGAGCCUUUGCACGCAGGAGGUCAGGAGUUCGAUCCUCCUUGGCUCCACCA
rnacentral:tRNA from 1 species